rnacentral:rRNA from 1 species
UACGUAGGGUGCGAGCGUUGCCCGGAUUUAUUGGGCGUAAAGGGCGCGUAGGCGGCUCGGCACGUCCGUUGUGAAAUCGCCCCGGCUCAACUGGGCGGGGUCAGCGGAUACGGUCGAGCUUGAGCAAGCUAGGGGGCAAUGGAAUUCCCGGUGUAGUGGUGGAAUGCGUAGAUAUCGGGAGGAACACCAGUGGCGAAGGCGGUUGCCUGGGGCUUUGCUGACGCUGAUGCGCGAAAGCGUGGGGAGCGAUCCGG